rnacentral:rRNA from 1 species
AACGAACGCUGGCGGCAUGCCUAACACAUGCGAGUCGAACGAGACCUUCGGGUCUAGUGGCGCACGGGUGCGUAACGCGUGGGAACCUGCCCUUAGGUUCGGAAUAACUCCCCGAAAGGGGUGCUAAUACCGGAUAAUGUCUUCGGACCAAAGAUUUAUCGCCUUUGGAUGGGCCCGCGUUGGAUUAGCUAGUUGGUAGGGUAAAAGCCUACCAAGGCGACGAUCCAUAGCUGGUCUGAGAGGAUGAUCAGCCACACUGGGACUGAGACACGGCCCAGACUCCUGCGGGAGGCAGCAGUGGGGAAUAUUGGACAAUGGGCGAAAGCCUGAUCCAGCAAUGCCGCGUGAGUGAUGAAGGCCUUAGGGUUGUAAAGCUCUUUUACCCGGGAUGAUAAUGACAGUACCGGGAGAAUAAGCUCCGGCUAACUCCGUG